rnacentral:rRNA from 1 species
UCGGGAAACUGAGGAUAAUGUCCCAUAGCAGAUUCGGCUUGGAAAAGUGUAUCUGUGAACGGGGUAUGGAAUUGUCCAUACGUGCCAUAGGAUGGGAUUGUGGUCGAUUAGGUAGUUGGUGAGGUAAUGGCUCACCAAGCCGAUAAUCGAUAGGGGCCGUGAGAGCGGGAGCCUCAAGAUGGGUACUGAGACAGCGACCCAGGCCCUACGGGGCGCAGCAGGCGCGAAACCUCCACAAUGCACGCAAGUGCGAUGGGGCUACCCAAAGUGCUCCAUACGGAGCUGUGGUGGAUGAUUAAUGUUCUCCACUACAAAGGAGAGGGCAAGGCUGGUGCCACCCGCCGCGGUAAAACCAGCUCUUCAAGUGGUCGGGAUAAUUAUUGGGCUUAAAGUGUCCGUAGCUGGUACGGUAAGUUCCUGGUAAAAUUGGGCAGCUUAACUGUCCUUAUGCUAGGAAUACUACUCUCC